rnacentral:sRNA from 1 species
UCAGGUUCAGUGAGGCUCCCUCCUUCCAGUCCUACAUGCCUGUCCUAUGAGUUCAUUCUCUGUUUACUUUUUUAUUUUUAACUUCGCCAUGUACGCUGAUGUUACGGUUUGAUUCUAAAAUGUUCUCUGUUGCUAAAAUUCCUUUCAAGGGGAAGAUGCAAGCCAAGUCCAGCCUUCUCCUAAAACGAAGGUCCGAACCACAAAAGGAGGCACACCUCUGCCGAAGCUCACUCCGGGGCAACCAAUGAGUGUAUUUGGUUUCCUUACAGAACACAGGGCUCUGAGAUUCCGAUUCAGCUGAAAUGAAAUGAAGGUGAAGCUCGGCGAUGAGACUGGAGCCAGGGUCUGGAGCCAUGGCGGAUGUGUCACCAUUGACGGAUGGUUAUCUCAGCGGAGGCAGAGGCUGGAGGGUCCCUGUGAGCUCCUCGCCUGCACCUCAAGUGGUCUUCCCACCACAUUUUCUGCAUGGAAACAACUUGGUUUCUUUACAGUGAAUAACUGGAGAGUUCUCAGUCUCUCCAUCAGCUGUGGGUUUAGGGAAGAUGAUUUUCAUUUAGCACGUUUAUCUUUGUGUGGAUUCUCUAAGACAGAAAGGACUAGACAGACAACAAGGCACAUGCCUUUAACUCCAACACUUGGGAGACUGAGGCAGGAGGAUCUCGAGUUUGAGGCCAUCCUGGACUUUAUAGUGAGACUCUGUAUUAAAAUUCAGAAAAUCAAAUCAAACCAGAAGAAUGGCAGGGGCUGAGUCAGAGCCACACAGCCCAUGUGACAGACACUAACUCUUUAGACAUGAACCUCACCCGACUAGAUAUUGUUCUUGGUUUGCCCUGCCCUGCCCCUGAUCUGGGGGUUGUCCCAGGUCUGGCAUCAUUUGACCCAUUUAGCUUGUUAUUUGGCCCAUAUUGGGGGUUUUGUUUCUUCCAUGGAUACCUACAUUAAAAACUCUCUUUCCAA